rfam:Cavia porcellus supercont2_25 genomic scaffold, whole genome shotgun sequence.
GGGGAUUUAGCUCAGCGGCAUAAGCACCUGCCUUGCAAGCAGGUCGUCGUGAGUUCGAUCCCCG